CCAAGCAAAGAAAAGGGUCCGGCUUUUUCAAUGAGAAGUAAAAAGAGAAAGACAUUCCACCAACUUCCAUCAAAUCAUUUCUUCAUUCAUCAACUAAAUAAAACAAAUAAAUGAAAAGAAAAGGACAAGCUACUAUACUACUCAAUUGCUGCAGCAGUGCAUAAUAAAAGAAAAGAGAAGAAAAGAAAAUUAUCCUUCAUUCAACCAAUGCCAUCUACCGUCAACAACAUUUCCAAGCUCUUCCAAAUAAUGUUACAGCCCCCUCCUAAUAAGAAAAAACGCUGCAACCCCCCAAUUCUGAAAUUGCCGAGAGCUAGUGUCCCCC
rnacentral:lncRNA from 1 species